GGGCUCUCAACGCAGAUAGCACAUUAGGUGAAUUGGUCCAUUCAUGGUUUUUUGAUGUCAAUACAUUCCACAUUACUUCAAUACCGCUGCUUCCCAAGUCAGAACAUGCGUACUGUGAUGCAUCCAUAAGUGCCUUUUCCUCUUCCGGUCUAAGCAGAAUUUCUUUGAAGGCAGAACUAGUCAUCUCUGAUAUGUCCAACUUUUAUAACAUCCAUUGCCUAAAACCAGUGACAGGACUAAGAGUAGCGAAUACACAGAUAUUG
rnacentral:misc_RNA from 1 species